GGGCAGGGGCGGCGUGCUAUACAUGCAGUCGAACGAGUGUCUGAUUAUUGAAAGGUGCUUGCAUCUUGAUUUAAUUUUGAACGAGUGGCGGACGGGUGAGUAACACGUGGGUAACCUGCCCUUAAGUGGGGGAUAACAUUUGGAAACAGAUGCUAAUACCGCAUAAAUCCAAGAACCGCAUGGUUCUUGGCUGAAAGAUGGCGUAAGCUAUCGCUUUUGGAUGGACCCGCGGCGUAUUAGCUAGUUGGUGAGGUAACGGCUCACCAAGGCAAUGAUACGUAGCCGAACUGAGAGGUUGAUCGGCCACAUUGGGACUGAGACACGGCCCAAACUCCUACGGGAGGCAGCAGUAGGGAAUCUUCCACAAUGGACGCAAGUCUGAUGGAGCAACGCCGCGUGAGUGAAGAAGGCUUUCGGGUCGUAAAACUCUGUUGUUGGAGAAGAAUGGUCGGCAGAGUAACUGUUGUCGGCGUGACGGUAUCCAACCAGAAAGCCACGGCUAACUACGUGCCAGCAGCCGCGGUAAUACGUAGGUGGCAAGCGUUAUCCGGAUUUAUUGGGCGUAAAGCGAGCGCAGGCGGUUUUUUAAGUCUGAUGUGAAAGCCCUCGGCUUAACCGAGGAAGUGCAUCGGAAACUGGGAAACUUGAGUGCAGAAGAGGACAGUGGAACUCCAUGUGUAGCGGUGAAAUGCGUAGAUAUAUGGAAGAACACCAGUGGCGAAGGCGGCUGUCUGGUCUGUAACUGACGCUGAGGCUCGAAAGCAUGGGUAGCGAACAGGAUUAGAUACCCUGGUAGUCCAUGCCGUAAACGAUGAAUGCUAGGUGUUGGAGGGUUUCCGCCCUUCAGUGCCGCAGCUAACGCAUUAAGCAUUCCGCCUGGGGAGUACGACCGCAAGGUUGAAACUCAAAGGAAUUGACAGGGGCCCGCACAAGCGGUGGAGCAUGUGGUUUAAUUCGAAGCAACGCGAGAACCUUACCAGGUCUUGACAUCUUUUGAUCACCUGAGAGAUCAGUUUCCCCUUCGGGGCAAAAUGACAGUGGUGCAUGGUGUCGUCAGCUCGUGUCGUGAGAUGUUGGGGUUAAGUCCCGCACGAGCGCACCUUAUGACUAGUUGCCAGCAUUAGUUGGCACUCUAGUAAGACUGCCGGUGACAAACCCGGAGAAGGUGGGGGAAUGAACGUCAAUCAUCAUGGCCUUAUGGACCUGUGGCUUCAACACACGUGUCUUUCAAUUGGGAGAUGUGGUGCCCACCAGAGU
rnacentral:rRNA from 1 species